GCAUGUGCGCGAGUCAUUGGGACUCUGUUAAACCUAAAGGCGCAAUGAAAGUAAAGGUCCGCCUCGCGCGGACCGAGGGAGGAUGGGCCCGUCCACGGACGGACCCCGCACUCCCGGGGCGUCUCGUCCUCAUCGCGAGGAGAGGCGCACCCAGAGCGUACACGCUGGGACCCGAAAGAUGGUGAACUAUGCCUGGUCAGGACGAAGUCAGGGGAAACCCUGAUGGAGGUCCGUAGCGAUUCUGACGUGCAAAUCGAUCGUCGGAACUGGGUAUAGG
rnacentral:rRNA from 2 species